GCUGCACAGUACUGUCUUUUUUCGAUGGCCAUUGUGAUAUCGUUUAGUACCUUGAGCGUGGCUGAGGUGCACCCGUGACCGGCUCGGAAACCAGAUUGCACAGCGGAGAAGGUACGGUGUGAUUCGAGAUGUGAGCAAGCCAAGAGGAUUUGAUUUUGAGAAAUGGAGAAAUGUAUUGUUUGUUUGUAAUUGUUUAAGCCUGUUAUUGGUCAUGGGCUUCGACAUUAUAUAAUCGUGCUACUGCCAGCUCUUUUCAUGGAUUAGGUAAGGUCUUAAUAUAUCUUGACAAGUGUUAUCUAUAACCUGGGUGACGCUUGACAAGAAAAGUCAAUGUUUUGAAAAAGUUCCUGAUUGUAAGUCAGUGGGUGUAUAACCAUACAUUUCUAUUGGAGGUUUGUGGUCAACGUCCAUGGCCUAGCAGUGAGAUUGCCCCGCUAUAUCAGCCCAGGCUGGUCAUUCAGUAGAGGAACCCAUAAAGAUGUACCUAUCUACCAGCAUUUAACCAACCCCAUGGCAGCUUGCCCAGACAGGGACGUAGCUUUUGAUCCUCCAGAGCUCCCAGAGGAGACACUGAUGGGGCCGUGGCAUGCAGAUGGCCUGGGGAACCUACGCUUCACUCUGGCUUUUGUCCACUGUGUCAUGGAGAUAGCUGUAACGUCUGCUUCCAACUCACACUCUCAAACACGUAGAUCCCCUGAAAGCAGCUCACUUUCCAGCCCAGUUUCCAGCUCACACUCUCACACACAUAGAAUGCAGAUCACUCUCCAGAUCCCAAUCACCUGAAUUCUGAUCACCUGUUCACACACCUGUAUGUCAUUUACACAAACUAUUUAGUUCAGUUCUUUGCACCCCAUCAUUGUGAGGUAUUGUUUGUUUUGAUACACAGUUCUAUUCUGAGAGCUGUUGUUCCUGGAUUAGUCCUCCUGUGUAUCAUAGUUUUGGCCAUCCUCACUAAUGAUGCCUUUUUGCAUGUCCCUGCCUGUACUUUUGCCUAUCAGAUUUCCUGUCAUUAACCUCUUGCCUGAUCUCCCGGACGACAUUACUAGUUUUUUCCCUGCCUGUACUGCUGCAUUUGUGGAACCCCUGUGUAUGACCUUCUGCCUGCCCCUGGACCCAGCUACCUGCCUCCUCCUGUGGUCCUUUACAAAUAAACACCUGCUGCGCCCUGUAUUCAUCACAUUUGGCAUGGCAUGUAGCCUAGUGGUUAUAGCAAUGGGCCAGUAACUGAAAGGUUGCUAGAUCGAAUGCCCGAGCUGAUAAGGUAAAGAUCUGUCGUUCUGCCCACUGUUCCAAGGACGUCAUUGUCAAUAAGAAUUUUUUCUUAACUGACUUGCCUAGUUAAAUAAAGGUAAAAUAAAUAAAAUGACAAUCGCCAGUUCUAAAGACACUGGACUUGAGAGUGAGACCAGUGAAGACACUCCUGAUGUGUCCUUCCUGCAGCAAAGCCUGGUGGCUGAUCAGAUCAGUCUUCUAAGCCAGGAGUGGAGGUGAGGGGAUGCAUCUCUGUUAUUGAUUCCCUAAUCUUGAAGUUGCUGCUUUGGCCUGUUAACUUAUACAGCACUUAGGACCUAUAUUUAAAAAUCACAGCGUAAUGGUGUAUUGUUAGUACUUCAAGAUGUUUUUUGUUUGUAAACAUUGGUGUUUUCGAUGUGUGUAUCACAGCUAUACAGAGCAGUUAGUACUGUUCAUGAAGGCUGCAGAAUUGAUUUAGUCUGCAUUACACACUGCUAUGGAGCACAUCAGAGAAGGCAGACUCUUUCCCUCAUCUACAGUCAAGCAGGUGGUGUAGAAGCUGAAAGAAAUGUAUAAGAGCAGUGUGACGUCCUGUCGGUCCCUCAACGCCCGCCUGCAGAGCUUUCUCCUCAACAAGCAGAGACUGAUGGACGACCACAACAACAUCACUGCAGAGAAACAGUGGUGGAAAAAGUGCAGUCAGCAGCGCUAGAUGAGAUGUUCCACCUUGGCCAGGUGCCCAUCCAGAGAUACUACAAAGCCCUGCUGCUCAUGGAGAGUUCCUCACCAUCACAGAGCAGGCAGACAUCAACAACAUAAGCAAACAGUGUAUUGAGAGACGCAUCCUCUCUGCUCGGCAGACUGCAUAGUGUGAUUGAGCUUGAGGCUUUUGGACUAUAGCUACAAUAUUAGCUGAAGCUUCUGAGCUUGGUUAGAGCACCUCCAGAUCCUCUGGUGUCCCUCUGUCCCCUGUGAAAAUGGAGCUCCUCGCUGUUGACACACAAAAGCACUUUGAAUGGAACAUGCUCAGUGACAAGACCACUGAUAUAGCUUCUCUCAACCCACAGACUAGCACCAAGCAUGUUUAGUACCACAAGGGAGAAGAAGAGGAUUGUGGGUGGUUCUGACUGACUCCACUCUGAGAGCCUUGUGUGUUGUGGUUGUGUGUCACGCUACAGUAUGUUCUGCCAGUCCAGUAGUAUGCUACUGUUAUCUACUGGAUUUAUCAGGCAUCACUGGAUAGAGUAAUUAUUAUUGUAUUUUUAGUACAAUUUUGUGUAAUUCUGUGCUUUUUUUGUGGUUGGCUUUAAUCUUUAGUUUUUAUAUUACUGCCUGUGGCUAUACAUUUGAAUGUGCCUAUUUCUGAAAGACAAUGGUAUCCGCUUUCUGAAAUAAAAAUGAGGCACCUUUUAAAUGUCUUUGUAAAUAUAUUGAGUAAUUGUUUUGACUGUAUGUUGUUCUUGUUCACCAAAACCAAGCUACCACAAUCAGUUUCAUAUGAGAAAAUUGUGUGAGAAUAGUGAUUAUAAUAAAAUGUCUAUA